rnacentral:rRNA from 1 species
AUUGAACGCUGGCGGCAGGCUUAACACAUGCAAGUCGAGCGGAGAGAGGUAGCUUGCUACUGAUCUUAGCGGCGGACGGGUGAGUAAUGCUUAGGAAUCUGCCUAUUAGUGGGGGACAACAUUUCGAAAGGAAUGCUAAUACCGCAUACGUCCUACGGGAGAAAGCAGGGGAUCUUCGGACCUUGCGCUACUAGAUGAGCCUAAGUCGGAUUAGCUAGUUGGUGGGGUAAAGGCCUACCAAGGCGACGAUCUGUAGCGGGUCUGAGAGGAGGAUCCGCCACACUGGGACUGAGACACGGCCCAGACUCCUACGGGAGGCAGCAGUGGGGAAUAUUGGACAAUGGGGGGAACCCUGAUCCAGCCAUGCCGCGUGUGUGAAGAAGGCCUUAUGGUUGUAAAGCACUUUAAGCGAGGAGGAGGCUACUCUAGUUAAUACCUAGGGAUAGUGGACGUUACUCGCAGAAUAAGCACCGGCUAACUCCGUGCCAGCCGCCGCAGUAA